GUGUCAGCCGCCGCGGUAAUACGUAGGAUGCAAGCGUUGUCCGGAUUUACUGGGCGUAAAGAGCGCGCAGGUGGUUUGAUAAGUUGGAUGUGAAAGCCCCUGGCUUAACUAGGGUAGGUCGUUCAAAACUAUCAGACUUGAGUGCAGCAGAGGAAAGUGGAAUUCCCGGUGUAGUGGUGAAAUGCGUAGAUAUCGGGAGGAACACCAGUGGCGAAAGCGGCUUUCUGGGCUGUAACUGACGCUGAGGCGCGAAAGCGUGGGGAGCGAACCGGAUUAGAAACCCCGGUAGUCC
rnacentral:rRNA from 1 species